rnacentral:rRNA from 1 species
UACAGAGGGUGCGAGCGUUAAUCGGAAUUACUGGGCGUAAAGCGUGCGCAGGCGGUUUGCUAAGACAGGUGUGAAAUCCCCGGGCUUAACCUGGGGAACUGCGCUUGUUACUGGCAGGCUUGAGUGUGGCAGAGGGGGGUGGAAUUCCACGUGUAGCAGUGAAAUGCGUAGAGAUGUGGAGGAACACCGAUGGCGAAGGCAGCCCCCCUGGGCUAACACUGACGCUCAUGCACGAAAGCGUGGGGAGCAAACAGG